UGGUGAAAACGACACUCACCAAAACGAGGUGAAGUGCACGCAUCAAUUCAUCAGCAAGAAUCUAAAUGUCUGCUUCCUAUUUGUACAAUAUUUUUUUAUUAUUAUUAAGACUUCUUGAUUUAACAUGAAAACAAGCAGAUAGAACUGCUAUUAAAGUUAUUAAGCUGUUUUUAAGUUUUAGCCGAUUUAUUUUUACCAUUUUGCCAU